GAUGAAGAACGCAGUGAAAUGCGAUAAGUAGUGUGAAUUGCAGAAUUCAGUGAAUCAUCGAAUCUUUGAACGCACAUUGCGCCCUUUGGUAUUCCAAAGGGCAUGCCUGUUCGAGCGUCAUUUGUACCCUCAAGCUUUGCUUGGUGUUGGGCGUCUUGUCUCUAGCUUUGCUGGAGACUCGCCUCAAAGUAAUUGGCAGCCGGCCUACUGGUUUCGGAGCGCAGCACAAGUCGCACUCUCUAUCAGCAAAGGUCUAGCAUCCAUUAAGCCUUUUUUUCAACUUUUGACCUCGGAUCAGGUAGGGAUACCCGCUGAACUUAAGCAUAUCAAUAAGCGGAGGA
rnacentral:misc_RNA from 1 species